GGCGGCGGCGGAGCGCGGAGGGGCGGCGCUGCCCGCGCCCUGCGGGGCCGGGCCGGACGUGUUCCCUGCCGGCGUGGGAUGGGGCCCUGCUAUGAGGAACAGAUGCAUGGACCUUCCUGGAUUUUUGGGACCAGGAAAAACCCGUCAGAGAGGAGGCGACGGCGUGGUCCCCUUGUGCCCGGCGCUGUCCCGCUGUUUGAUGUGGGACCCGGCCUCAGCGGCCCCGCCACGCUGGCUCCACGCUGUCAUCCCAAGUAAAUAAAGCCCAGCACAAUU